rnacentral:rRNA from 1 species
UACGGGGGGGGCAAGCGUUGUUCGGAAUUACUGGGCGUAAAGCGUGCGCAGGCGGUUGGGUCAGUCGCUGGUGAAAGCCCCACGCUCAACGUGGGAAUGGCCAACGAGACGGCCCGACUGGAGGCAGGGAGAGGCCGGUGGAAUUCCGGGUGUAGCGGUGAAAUGCGUAGAUAUCAAGAGGAACACCUGCGGCGAAGGCGGGUUGCUGGGCCGACACUGACGCUGAGGCGCGAAAGCUAGGGGAGCGAACGGG